GAUGAACGCUAGCUACAGGCUUAACACAUGCAAGUCGAUGGGCAGCGCAGUGUAGCAAUACAUGGGCGGCGACCGGCGCACGGGUGCGUAACGCGUAUCCAACCUUCCCGUUACUCAGGGAUAGCCUUCCCGAAAGGGGAGAUUAAAUACCCUGAUGGUGUUUGAAUUCCGCAUGUUAUUCAAACUAAAGAUUUAUCGGUAACGGAUGGGGAUGCGUGACAUUAGAUAGUAGCGGGGUAACGCCCACCUAGUCUACGGAUGGUCCUAGGGGGUUCUGAGAGGAAGGUCCCCCUANACUGGAA
rnacentral:rRNA from 1 species